ACUAACGCUGGCGGCGUGCUUAACCCAUGCAAGUCGAACGGAAAGGCCCUGCUUUUGUGGGGUGCUCGAGUGGCGAACGGGUGAGUAACACGUGAGUAACCUGCCCUUGACUUUGGGAUAACUUCAGGAAACUGGGGCUAAUACCGGAUAGGAGCUCCUGCUGCAUGGUGGGGGUUGGAAAGUUUCGGCGGUUGGGGAUGGACUCGCGGCUUAUCAGCUUGUUGGUGGGGUAGUGGCUUACCAAGGCUUUGACGGGUAGCCGGCCUGAGAGGGUGACCGGCCACAUGGGGACUGAGAUACGGCCCAGACUCCUACGGGAGGCAGUAGUGGGGAAUAUUGCACAAUGGGCGGAAGCCUGAUGCAGCAACGCCGCGUGCGGGAUGACGGCCUUCGGGUUGUAAACCGCUUUCGCCUGUGACGAAGCGUGAGUGACGGUAAUGGGUAAAGAAGCACCGGCUAACUACGUG
rnacentral:rRNA from 1 species